GUGAGGUUUGGAUAGAUGGUUUGUGGAAUUUCAUUACCUAAAGCCAUCUGAAGCAGGACUUAAAAAAGCAACAAAAAAAAACCUCAUCAGUGUAGACAGAGGUUGUUGCAGCUGCUCUGUUGGCUUAGCUGUCAGCCUCACACAUUAUGUUAUAAUACAACGGAAAACUAGCAAGGUUGUCAGGCACCUUUUAAAUGCAACCUUUCGGCAGUUUUACAAAGAAUGUGUCAUUUCCUCUCUGCUGUAGCAGAAGGCUGAGGCUGGGUGCUGCCCUAGGCCACCGUUUUGUUUCCUCAUUUGUGCUCCCUGGAGAGCUGAUGGGGAGAGCUGGUGCUGCUGCGGGUGUGGGCAGGCCUAGGGUUCCUGGGGAAGCAUAGGCACUUCUUCCUGGGAAAAAUGCAGAUGGCAGUUCUGCAUUUCAUCAAGGAGCUGCUCAGCACUGAUGCUCAGAGCUGUUCAGCAUGGGAUGUGGCAGGGCACAUCUUCAGCGAGUUCAGCCGGCUCUCUGACAGACUGGUGGUGGAAGGCUUUUUUGCUUUUGAAAUUGAGGAGGAAGGAGCUCUUCGAGCCCUGUGCAUGGACAUCCUGGGCCCACUGGAUGUCUCUGUGAGAGGGAUGACCAAAGUUAGUUGUCCUCCACCCUGCUGCUGCUGUUUCUUGCCUUCAGACAUUUUUCUUUGUCCUUACCCACGCCACAGACAUCUCCCUGCCUAUGCUUUGAAGGGCACACGGCUCAGGAAAAUGCAGGCUGUCCUUUCUGACUAAGCUGAGCAAUGGAAGGGAUGCUGGCAGGGAGAAUUUCCUCAUUCUUCUCUGUAGCUCUCGUGGCCAAGGCUGCUGCAGUACAUGGUGCCCGCUGAGUACAGUGGCAUGCUUAUUCCCCUCUCCCACUGCCUCUGAAGUCUGGCUGAGAGAUGAGAGAGAGGAGGACAACAAGAAUAAGAGGACUCCAAUGUCACCAGCUCUGAGCCCAGCUGCCAGCUCCACCAGCCCUGCUGGCUUGACCGCUGGUGAGUAGCAGCGCCCUGGGGAAGGUGCCCUGGGCAAAGCCAUUGUCUGCCUGCUGCUGGCAGGAGCAGCUCCACACUUCCUUCCUGCUGAGAGAAGCUGAAAGUGUCACUGGAAUACAUGGAGGACCAGGCCUGGACUGUGGCUCUGAGCCAGCAGCUCAGCGAGCAGCUUGGCACCUGUCCUCACAGCUCCUGGGAGAAUGUUGGCUCCCUGCUUGGCUCUUCCCUGAUUGCAGAGCCAUGGUGCACCCAGCUCCAUGGCUGGGACUGGAGGCACUCUUCUGCCCAUGAUGGCUCUUGUCACCGCUUCCCCUUCUUUUGCCACCAAAAGGCUCUUCCCUCCAUGCAGCUCAGAGGCUGGCUACAACCCAGCACUGUGGCCGGCCUCAGCUGCUCCCUGGGGUGCUAGGGUCCAUCUUGGCCUGUCCUCCUGACACAUCGGGCCAUUACCACAUCUCGGGCUCAGCCUCCUUUCUUUCAGCUCUUCUUGUACAAUGCUCUUCGGUCAGUGCUGGCAGCUUGUCAGGGCUCAGCCAUGUCCAAGAGCAGCUUCACAGAUAUCUCCAGGGAACAAACCAUGUGGAGCUGUUUGAGGCCCAGGUGAGGUUUCCUCUUUUCUCCAUGCUUUCCUAGGGCAGAGGGAGGGCUUCUCCUGGCCCUGCUGUAGACCUAUGUGAUCCCCCAUUGCUGUGGUUUCCCUCAGGCAGUGCCCUGCCUGGCUGUUGCCACUGGCCACAACUGAAUGUCUUGGAUGCAGCUUUCUUUCCCCAGUUCUCUUUGCUUGUAGCGAAUGAUUUUGGUUGUGUCCUUCAC
ensembl:lncRNA